UACAGAGGUCCCAAGCGUUACUGAGAUUCACUGGGUUUAAAGGGUGCGUAGGUGGCGCGUUAAGUCAGUUGUGAAAUCCCCGGGCUCAACCCGGGAAAUGCUUCUGAUACUGGCGUGCUUGAGGCCGGUAUAGGUUACUGGAACGGACGGUGGAGCGGUGAAAUGCGUAGAUAUCGUCUGGAACGCCAGUGGUGAAGACGGUCUUCUGGACUGAUACUGACACUGAGGCACGAAAGCCAGGGGAGCGAACGGG
rnacentral:rRNA from 1 species